UUUCAGUGUAUAAACUUCAAAAAAUAAAUAUUUCUAUAUUCAGAUGUUUUGUUGCAUCUUCCAUUGUUUUUAUCUUUUUAGCCUCAUCAGCUGUCAUAAAAGAUUUAGAAUGGGUUAACGGAAGAUUGGAUGAUAAGAUGGUUGAUAACGAGG